UCUUGUUAAAAGGCAGACUCUAUUAAGCAGGUCUGGCGUGAGACCUGAGAUUCUGCAUUUCUAACAAGCUC
rnacentral:miRNA from 1 species